AUAUUUAACUGGUAGGUGAGCUACCAAAAUCACGAAGGUGGUUUUCCUAGGGUGAAGCUCAUCCAUUGUACUCUGGAUAUGCUGAACUCUGUGAUUUCCUUAAAUGUGGAAACUUGAGAGCAUACUUGUGGUUAUGGGGGACUGCAUUCAUGUUCUUCCCUU
ensembl:snRNA U1 U1 spliceosomal RNA